AGGAAUAGCUUAUAUUUAUUUAGGAAUUGCUUUAUACAACAUAGAGGGCUCUCAGCAUAAUUGUAUUGAAUGAGUUUUCAUUACUGUAUGAAGAAUAACAGAUCAGGAAUAAAAGAUGGGAAUGGCACAAACCAUUUUUGUAUUUCAGGAAAUUCAAAGUAAUUUGUAAUAACAAAAAGUAGAUCAUGCAGAGGGUAUUGGCAGAAAGCUCUAGGGCAAGGGAAUUGUGGGUAAUAUGUGUUUAUCAUCUUGACUGGUAAUAGAUUCACAGGUAUAUACACUUGUAAGAAUUUAACUUACACAAUUAAAUAUGAACAGUUAGUUAUAUAGUUUUUAAUCUCAACAAAUAUGCUCUGUAAAUGCAAAGUGAGUACACAGAAUGAAUGCAUCAAGUAGUUAGAACACAUGGAAGCCAUUAGCAAGAACAAUCACACAAAUAGGUUUUGGUGUCAUUCGGAAUAGUGGAACCUUUUAGAGUUUUGAAGAACUUGGAGGUUCUAAGUAUCUUUUUCAUUCACUUGCUGAUGCUUAUGGCUGUGGGUUUAAUUUAAAUCAUCUUAUUUUUUAAAUUAAAAUCAGUAUAUCCCUAAAUGUAAAGAACAAUGUAUAUUUUGAUUCUCUUGAAAUAUUCCAAAAUCUGUGACAUAGCUCAGCUAGCUAAACCCAUCCCAAACACUGCUAAACAAUCAUUUGAGACAGAGAUAAGCUGAAAGAUACUUUCAUCUGGAGAAAACAGGAUCAAUCUGCAGAGCCUUUUGUAAUUAUGUUUGUUGCAAAACCAUGCAAGAGGGAAGAAUUUCCUUUAUCUGAUUGUCCAUAGACACAUCUGUGGGUAUUUUCCUGAUUGCUCAUUCAUAUAGGAAGCCACUGUGGGCAGUAUCAUCCCUAAGCAAGUGGGCUAUAUAAGAAAUGUAGAUGAAUGUGAGUGAGAGAAGAGACCAGUAAGUAUCACUCUGCUAUAGUCUCUGUUGCAGUUUCUGCUUCAAGCUCCAACCUUGGGUCUCAGCAUGGCUUCCCUCAUUUAAUCACUGUUUUGUGGAAGCAACACAAAGCAAACUAAGACACACAUCCAAAGAUUUUUUUUCUUUUCAUUUCCUACGACGGGUAUAAUUAAAACAGUCAGUCAGUCAACCAGUCAGACAGACAGACAGACUCGGAGUGGAAGUUUCCCUGAGACAAAUAACAGAUAUUCUCUGCAUAUGAUUGCCUCAGAUAUAUAUCUUGUGAGUAAAUCCAUUUUAAUUGUUUUUAACAAAAUUCUGUUUGAAUCCACAGAAAGUUAUAGAAAUAUCACAUUGAGUCUCUUCUGGAAUAGAACAUGACUACCCUAGGCCCAUAUCAAAGUCCUUUCACGGCUCAGUGUGAAGGACAGAGAUGACUCCAGGUCACUGUUUGUUUUUUCUAAUUGCAUUACAGAUAAUACUGUGUUUACUUAUAAUUAAGGUUUUAGAUGCAGAGCUUGAAUUAGAUUAGUCCUCAUCUUAAGGUAGGGAGAAACUGUGAAUUCCAAUCAAAAUACAUGGGGGAAGACUGAAGACAAUCUCUCUACAUUCAUAUGUCAGCAAAACAGACUUAACAUUCAGUGGAUAGCAUAUUGAUGUGCCUGAUAUUACCCAAAGAAUAGAUGUUUUCUGCCUUGACACAUUAUGGUUUAAAUGUAUUGAUCUGAUUUUUAACAGACAUAAUUAAAAUUAAUAGAAACAUUCUAAACACUACUUAGAAUGAGCUACUUAUUAAUUUUUUUCAUACCCUCUCUUCGUUUUUGGCCAGAGGUGGUCCUCACGCAUCAUAGAGUACUGAACAUAAGAUCUGUAAUGGGAAAGCAUGUUGUUGAGCCUGGGCAUGGGUUUCUAACGCUCUUGAGCUGAGAUUCAGUGAACACUUCCAUUUGGAGCUCUCUGUACACUUAGGACUAUGUCCUCCUCUGCCCUUGGUCUUUUUCCAGAACGGAGUCCCGCCAACAGAAAGACAGAAUCAGCAUCUCUCCUAUUCCUUUUCACUUUUCCCAAUAGCUGCUUUGCUUUUUGUAUUCUUCUUCUCCCCUCUUUUUGAUUAGAAAGGCGAUUUUAUUGGCAAGCUAAAGAACAAUAAACCACUGUAUGAGAGCAGUGUAAUCCAGGUAUGUAUGGUGUGACUCAGGCUCUUAUUUGUUUGUUUGUUUGCUUGUCUGUUUGUUUAUGUUUACAGAAAAUCAGAUUAAUAGGCAUAGUCAGUAGGUGACUUUUAAAUGAUCUAGGAUAUGGGAUACUUGUCAACGCCAAAAGUUUUAACUUGGGAAUGAGGGGGAAAUAUCUUGUCUUUUCAGAAGACAUGUGAAAACAUAUUAUGGCCAAGAUACUCAUGUCCUAUCACUAAGUACUACCCAUACACCCAUUCUCCAAACAUACAGACUUUUCUUGAGCUCUCACUGAUCCAUGAGUGUGAAGCCACUUUUUAAUUUGCUGUUAUAAGUAAUUGCAAUGGAUUUAUUAAUUGAUGCAUGAUAUAAUCAUUAUUAAUUACUCUUAACUUCACAGUAUUUCAUAUAAUAUGCUUCAUAGCUCUUUAAUAUCUAGAAAGAUAGAAUUCAGAGUAAAUCCCAAGGACAAUGGACCCACAAAAGCAGUUACGGACUAAAUUAGAACAAAGAAAUUAAAGUCUGUAGCACUUGAAAAGGAAAAACUAAAUAGCUUCUACACUCAUGUUCAUUUGCUCGCAUCAGGUUUAGUUGCUUUAAAUUAGGACAAUAAACACAACCUCCAAUCUUACAUUCUAACCGUUUUUAAUUCAUGGACUAACCAAUGAUAAUGGUCUUUAAAAAAAAAAGAAAAAGAAAAAUCUGUGUAGAUUAUGUUAGAGAAGCUAAAUAAUUUUAUCUGUUGUUUACAUUUUUAC
rnacentral:lncRNA from 1 species